UUGAAAGGGAAACGAUUGAAGUCAGUCGUACCGACGAGAAAUCAGCUUUUCGAAUGUGCAUUUGUGGGCGUAUGAGAUCUUCAUUGUUUGCAAUAUGUAUGUUUCUUUGGUGUACUUUUUCGUAUGGUAGGUCAACGUCGGUUUUGGUCGCCAUAAAAUGAUCGGAGGAAUGUAGCUUCGACCUCGGUUGAAGUGUUAUAGCCUUUGGUAAAUGUGGUGAUUAGGACCGAGGACUGCAACGAAUACCUUUUAGGCUAUCCGUCUGACCUCUGAAAGUUACUUAGGUGCCGAAAGCUUGCUUACGGUCAUUUAAGUUGACGGUCAAUAGGUUAGAACGUGAUUACAUUCGUUAAGGAUGUUGACGUA
rnacentral:rRNA from 1 species